AUGUACAUGGAUGCGUGGAAAGCCAACAUCCCAGAAUUCAAGAAUCCCUUUGCUCCAUCGAGGACACCAUCACAGCGGAUCCGUUCGCCGCCGCUGAUCUCAUCGCUACGUCGACGACAACCAUUUGACGCCGCCGAACCCCUUACCAUCGAGUGUCUCCUCCAUUAUGAGUGCAAGCAACAGGAGGUGUCCUCUUGGCACAACGACGUGGUCAACUGGUCACUCCUUCAUCGACAGGUUCUUGCGCUCGGUGGAUUACUUCCACGGUUCCACAGUGGGAGGACACACUCAAGCUACGGUACGUAUCUCUUCCCCUUGGAGGCCCGCACUCUUCAUGUGCUGCUGGUACUGGAGGAUCCACAAGCGUCAAUGAUACAGAUUAAGUAA
rnacentral:rRNA from 1 species